rnacentral:rRNA from 1 species
GUAGGUGGCAAGCGUUGUCCGGAAUUAUUGGGCGUAAAGCGCGCGCAGGCGGUCCUUUAAGUCUGAUGUGAAAGCCCACGGCUCAACCGUGGAGGGUCAUUGGAAACUGGGGGACUUGAGUACAGAAGAGGAAAGCGGAAUUCCAAGUGUAGCGGUGUAAUGCGUAGAGAUUUGGAGGAACACCAGUGGCGAAGGCGGCUUUCUGGUCUGUAACUGACGCUGAGGCGCGAAAGCGUGGGGAGCAAACAGGAUUAGAUACCCUGGUAGUCCACGCCGUAAACGAUGAGUGCUAAGUGUUAGGGGGUUUCCCGCCCCCCUUAGUGCUGCAGCUAACGCAUUAAGCACUCCGCCUGGGGAGUACGGCCGCAAGGCUG